rnacentral:rRNA from 1 species
AGUAGUUGACUCGUGGACACGAGACACGCUGGCGGCGUGCUUAACACAUGCAAGUCGAGCGGGUGCAGCAAUGCACCAGCGGCGGACGGGUGAGUAACGCGUGAACAAUCUGCCUCUAUCAGCGGGAUAACACAUAGAAAUAGGUGCUAAUACCGCAUAAGACCACGAUUUCGCAUGAAGAAGUGGUAAAAGCUCCGACGGAUAGAGAUGAGUUCGCGUCCCAUUAGCUAGUUGGUGAGGUAACGGCCCACCAAGGCGACGAUGGGUAGCCGACCUGAGAGGGUGAUCGGCCACAUUGGAACUGAGAAACGGUCCAAACUCCUACGGGAGACAGCAGUGGGGAAUAUUGGGCAAUGGGCGCAAGCCUGACCCAGCAACGCCGCGUGAAGGAUGAAGGUUUUCGGAUUGUAAACUUCUGUCGCGAGGGACGAAGAAUGACGGUACCUCGUAAGAAAGCCCCGGCAAACUACGUG